rnacentral:lncRNA from 1 species
CAGGCGGCUCCUGCUCCCCCUCCACGUGGCAGGGAGAACAGGGAAGCCUUGGAAGGGAACACGUGACCCAGAAUGCGAAUGAGCAGCCUCCAGGCUGGGGGACUCUUCUUUUAAACACAGGGAAGACACACAUUUAGGAUUAACAAUAUAACUUCUGUGAACAGACAGGGAGGAUGAAAGCACAUUGGCUCAAUACUGCAGAGUCACCGCUCCCCUUUCCUCAGAAUACAUCACCGAAAACAUAGCUGACACUGAGGAAAUGUCUGCUUGUGAAGUAAUCACCCAUUAUGGGCCUGAUCUUCCUUCACUUCAAAUGAGUGGACAGUUCUGACAUGUACUGCAUACCAAACUUCUUUUCAGUAAAAUAGCUUUUGCUCUAGAAAGGCCAGUAACAG